rnacentral:lncRNA from 10 species
GUUCAAGCGAUUCUCCUGCCUCAGUGUCCCGAGUAGCCAAUUGUCAUUCCCAUAGUUGACAAAAUAAAAUAAAAUCUUGAAAAAAAAUUUUAAGGAACACAGAGUGCAGAUUUCAAAAGGAACCAAAUAGAAAUUUUAGUAUUGAAAAGUAAAAUAGCAGCAGUUAUAAACUCAAUGGAUCAAUGUCACCCAAGAUUAGAAAUAGCUAAGGAGAGAAAUAAGGAGCUAAAUAAUAGGUCAGUGAGAAUUAUCCUUUGGCCUCUGAAGCUCACAGAGGAUGAAAAGUACAGAAGUAC